rnacentral:rRNA from 1 species
UACGUAGGGCGCAAGCGUUGUCCGGAAUUAUUGGGCGUAAAGAGCUCGUAGGCGGUUUGUCGCGUCGGAUGUGAAAGCCCGGGGCUUAACCCCGGGUCUGCAUUCGAUACGGGCAGACUGGAGUGUGGUAGGGGAGAUCGGAAUUCCUGGUGCAGCGGUGAAAUGCGCAGAUAUCAGGAGGAACACCGGUGGCGAAGGCGGAUCUCUGGGCCAUUACUGACGCUGAGGAGCGAAAGCGUGGGGAGCGAACAGG